rnacentral:rRNA from 1 species
AAAAAAGGUAAGCUACUAAGAGCGAAUGGUGGAUGCCUUGACUGGUAAAGGCGAUGAAGGACGUACUAGACUGCGAUAAGCUACGGGGAGCUGUCAAGAAGCUUUGAUCCGUAGAUUUCCGAAUGGGGCAACCCAAUGUAUAGAGAUAUACAUUACCUAUAUAGGAGCGAACGAGGGGAAUUGAAACAUCUUAGUACCCUCAGGAAAAGAAAUCAAUAGAGAUUGCGUCAGUAGCGGCGAGCGAAAGCGCAAGAGGGCAAACCCAGUGCUUGCACUGGGGGUUGUAGGACUGCAAUGUGCAAGAGGUAAGUUUAGCAGAACAUUCUGGAAAGUAUAACCAUAGAGGGUGAUAGUCCCGUAUGCGAAAAACAAACCUUAGCUAGCAGUAUCCUGAGUAGGGCGGGACACGAGGAAUCCUGUCUGAAUCCGGGUCGACCACGAUCCAACCCUAAAUACUAAUACCAGAUCGAUAGUGCACAAGUACCGUGAGGGAAAGGUGAAAAGAACUGAGGUGAUCAGAGUGAAAUAGAACCUGAAACCAUUUGCUUACAAUCAUUCAGAGCCCUAUGUAGCAAUACAGGGUGAUGGACUGCCUUUUGCAUAAUGAGCCUGCGAGUUGUGGUGUCUGGCAAGGUUAAGCAAACGCGAAGCCGUAGCGAAAGCGAGUCUGAAUAGGGCGCUUAGUCAGAUGCUGCAGACCCGAAACGAAGUGAUCUAUCCAUGAGCAAGUUGAAGCUAGUGUAAGAACUAGUGGAGGACUGAACCCAUAGGCGUUGAAAAGCCCCGGGAUGACUUGUGGAUAGGGGUGAAAGGCCAAUCAAACUUCGUGAUAGCUGGUUCUCUCCGAAAUAUAUUUAGGUAUAGCGUUGUGUCGUAAUAUAAGGGGGUAGAGCACUGAAUGGGCUAGGGCAUACACCAAUGUACCAAACCCUAUCAAACUCCGAAUACCUUAUAUGUAAUCACAGCAGUCAGGCGGCGAGUGAUAAAAUCCGUCGUCAAGAGGGAAACAACCCAGACUACCAGCUAAGGUCCCUAAAUCUUACUUAAGUGGAAAACGAUGUGAAGUUACUUAAACAACCAGGAGGUUGGCUUAGAAGCAGCCAUCCUUUAAAGAAAGCGUAAUAGCUCACUGGUCUAGUGAUUUUGCGCGGAAAAUAUAACGGGGCUAAAGUAAGUACCGAAGCUGUAGACUUGCACACAACUUAGAUUAUUUAAGUUUAGAAUAUGAGAAACUAAGUUAUAUGUUUAGUUAUAUUUUUACUGAUUUUUAUAGAGUAAAGAUAGAAAUAAAACUUAGUAAAAUCAGUAAAAAUAUUCUUAGACUAAAGUUAAGUAGUUUAAGUUGUGUGCAAGUGGUAGGAGAGCGUUCUAUUUGCGUCGAAGGUAUACCGGUAAGGAGUGCUGGAGCGAAUAGAAGUGAGCAUGCAGGCAUGAGUAGCGAUAAUUAAUGUGAGAAUCAUUAACGCCGUAAACCCAAGGUUUCCUACGCGAUGCUCGUCAUCGUAGGGUUAGUCGGGUCCUAAGUCGAGUCCGAAAGGGGUAGACGAUGGUAAAUUGGUUAAUAUUCCAAUACCAACAUUAGUGUGCGAUGGAAGGACGCUUAGGGCUAAGGGGGCUAGCGGAUGGAAGUGCUAGUCUAAGGUCGUAGGAGGUUGUACAGGCAAAUCCGUAUAACAAUACUCCGAGAACUGAAAGGCUUUUUGAAGUCUUCGGAUGGAUAGAAGAACCCCUGAUGCCGUCGAGCCAAGAAAAGUUUCUAAGUUUAGCUAAUGUUGCCCGUACCGUAAACCGACACAGGUGGGUGGGAUGAGUAUUCUAAGGCGCGUGGAAGAACUCUCUUUAAGGAACUCUGCAAAAUAGCACCGUAUCUUCGGUAUAAGGUGUGGUUAGCUUUGUAUUAGGAUUUACUCCGAAAGCAAGGAAACUUACAACAAAGAGUCCCUCCCGACUGUUUACCAAAAACACAGCACUCUGCUAACUCGUAAGAGGAUGUAUAGGGUGUGACGCCUGCCCGGUGCUCGAAGGUUAAUUGAUGGGGUUAGCAUUAGCGAAGCUCUUGAUCGAAGCCCGAGUAAACGGCGGCCGUAACUAUAACGGUCCUAAGGUAGCGAAAUUCCUUGUCGGUUAAAUACCGACCUGCAUGAAUGGCGUAACGAGAUGGGAGCUGUCUCAAAGAGGGAUCCAGUGAAAUUGUAGUGGAGGUGAAAAUUCCUCCUACCCGCGGCAAGACGGAAAGACCCCGUGGACCUUUACUACAGCUUGACACUGCUACUUGGAUAAGAAUGUGCAGGAUAGGUGGGAGGCUUUGAGUAUAUGACGCCAGUUGUAUAUGAGCCAUUGUUGAGAUACCACUCUUUCUUAUUUGGGUAGCUAACCAGCUUGAGUUAUCCUCAAGUGGGACAAUGUCUGGUGGGUAGUUUGACUGGGGCGGUCGCCUCCCAAAUAAUAACGGAGGCUUACAAAGGUUGGCUCAGAACGGUUGGAAAUCGUUCGUAGAGUAUAAAGGUAUAAGCCAGCUUAACUGCAAGACAUACAAGUCAAGCAGAGACGAAAGUCGGUCUUAGUGAUCCGGUGGUUCUGUGUGGAAGGGCCAUCGCUCAAAGGAUAAAAGGUACCCCGGGGAUAACAGGCUGAUCUCCCCCAAGAGCUCACAUCGACGGGGAGGUUUGGCACCUCGAUGUCGGCUCAUCGCAUCCUGGGGCUGGAGCAGGUCCCAAGGGUAUGGCUGUUCGCCAUUUAAAGCGGUACGCGAGCUGGGUUCAGAACGUCGUGAGACAGUUCGGUCCCUAUCUGCCGUGGGCGUAAGAAGAUUGAAGAGAUUUGACCCUAGUACGAGAGGACCGGGUUGAACAAACCACUGGUGUAGCUGUUGUUCUGCCAAGAGCAUCGCAGCGUAGCUAAGUUUGGAAAGGAUAAACGCUGAAAGCAUCUAAGCGUGAAGCCAACUCUAAGAUGAAUCUUCUCUAAGCUCUCUAGAAGACUACUAGUUUGAUAGGCUGGGUGUGUAAUGGAUGAAAGUCCUUUAGCUGACCAGUACUAAUAGAGCGUUUGGCUUAUCUUUAAUAAAGCAU